AACCCCUGUCUCUCAUCUCCAGAUAUUGGAUAUAUUUGCCUAUGGGAUAUGGCAGAACAUUUUAUUCUUAAAAAAAGUAUAACUGAUAUGAGUGAUAUUGACUGUCUUGGAAUCCAGAAUGUCAUGGAACAGACAUUUGAUCAACUGAUCAGUAAAGUAAUAUGAGCAGGACCCAGAAGAUCAAUUUAUACAAUAAAAACAACAUUAUAAAGAAAAACAACUGAAAAG
rnacentral:lncRNA from 1 species